rnacentral:rRNA from 1 species
AUUGAACGCUGGCGGCAGGCCUAACACAUGCAAGUCGAACGAGUGGCGGACGGGUGAUUAAUGUCUGGGAAACUGCCUGAUGGAGGGGGAUAACUAAUGGAAACGGUAGAUAAUACCGCAUACCAUCAGAUCUGCCCAGAUGGGAUUAGCUUGUUGGUGGGGUACCGGCUCACCAAGGGGACGAGACCUAGCUGAUCUGAGAGGAUGAACAGCAAAGUUGGAGCUGCGACACGGGCCAGACGCCUAAGGGAGGCAGCAGUAGGGAAUAUUCCACAAUGGGCGCAAGCCUGAUGCAGCCAUGACGCGUGUAUGAAGAAGGCCUUCGGGUGGUAAAGUACUGUCAGCGGCGAGGCGGUACCUGCAGAAGAAGCACCGGAUAACUCCGUGCCAGCAGCCGCGGUAAUUC